UACAUGGGGUGCAAACGUUGCUCGGAAUUAUUGGGCGUAAAGCGCGUGUAGGCGGAUCGUUAAGUGUCUUGUGAAAUCCCACGGCUCAACCGUGGAACUGCUGGGCAUACUGGCGAUCUUGGGCCACUCAGGGGCGACCGGAACAAGCGGUGGAGCGGUGAAAUGCGUAGAGAUCGGCAGGAACACCCAGGGGGAAACCAGCCGACUGGGCAAGUGCUGACGCUGAGGUGCGAGAGCGUGGGGAGCGGAACCGG
rnacentral:rRNA from 1 species